GUGGGCUAACGGGAAAAGCUCAGCCAAACAACUGACCGGCUGAGAGCGCCACAGCAAUGGAUACGCGCUCGCCAUGCAGUCGCUACCGCUGCCGCCGCCGCCGCCAGCGCCAUCAUUCGUUUAUCAAAGCCCAACGAAAGUGUAAAAAGGAGAGUGUGGUGAGAACACAAAUGUGAGCGUAUGCGUGGCUAACGAUCUGCCGAUCGCGAGAGCGCGAGAGUGCAUAUUUGCUAAAUUCGCUCACAGCAUUUUAUAUGCAUAUCUCUAUCUUUAUACGAGCCUGCGCGUGUGUGUGUGCAAUGAGUGUGCGGCAAUUGUUUGUUAUUGUAGCUUUAUUGCACAAUCUUUACAUCAAGCAGCCAGGCAAACAAGCACAAAAAAAAAGUAUAACAAUCACGAAAAACCGAUGGCGAAAUACCCUGUAAUCCAUGUAUUUUUGUAUAUCAUUGAAAUGUCUUUCAAUAGAAUAUAUGUCACGUUGCUUUUUAUAUCAAGAAAUUUAUCAUAAUGACGCAGAAGAUUAUAUUUGUUUGUGCGUUAUAUAGUUCCUACAUUAGAUUUGGAUAGGGUAUAGCAGAUUUACCCGUCAAGCGGCCACUUUCGCUGCGAUGCAAAUUGCAAUUGCCCUACAACUGUGAACAUAUGAAAAAAGGAACAAGUGGCUGCAAUGCUUGCCAGUGCUACUCAAACUUUAGCAUGCAGCAGUGAGCAGUGUGCAAAGAGAGCGUGCGAGACCGAGAGAGGGAGUGUGUGUAAAUUUUGUUUUUGCUUUAUUUAUAAUGGGCUUUUGCACAAUUUACUUUUGUAUAUGCUUUGUAUGCCAGUCAGCCGCCUUCUCACACCUCUCUCACACUGUCGCUCUCGCUCUCGCUCUGCCUUUCGCUCCAUUCAAUUGUGUUUGCGUCGGCGUGCAUAAUCGACGUCGCUGCUUUUAUGCUAAUUGAAGCUGGGAGUCAGGCUGAUGAUGCUGAUCUUACCGAACGGUGACAAAUUUACAACAAGAAAAAGAAGAAGGCAUAGUAUGUACUGAUAUUACCGUUACACGCAAAUAUGUAUGUGAAGCAGUCUCGAUUGAAGUUUGAAAGUAACUGUAAAAUAGUUUUGCUCAUUUAUGGGACCAAUCAGACAUGUAAAUUUCUGGAAGGGAAAGGGAAAUAAAUGGGAGGGACAUUUAGAAAAUAA